rnacentral:sRNA from 1 species
AACUUGAGCCUCGGGACCACAGAGCCUAUCGGACCCAGAAACUCAACCAGCACAUUUCCAAGGCAUCCUUUGGUGAGUUACAUUCCUUUCCUCAGCCAUUUCUUUAUGGAAAUAAAACCAUUUGCCUAAUAUACAAAUUAUUUCCCAGAUCAGAGUCUGUCUCACAGGUUUGAGAAUAAACGGAAAAAAGAAAGGUGGCUCCCUCAUUUCGGGAACUGUGUAGACAGAACCUGUGGCUAUGGAUGAAUUAGGAAAAUAUUUACCUAAAGAAUUAAACUCACCUUGGCAUAGUUUCUGACUCUCAUGGAUAAUCUAUUCUAGGAAAUAUAAAAA